UGGGGAAUAUUGCACAAUGGGCGAAAGCCUGAUGCAGCAACGCCGCGUGAGUGAUGAAGGCCUUCGGGUCGUAAAACUCUGUCCUCAAGGAAGAUAAUGACGGUACUUGAGGAGGAAGCCCCGGCUAACUACGUGCCAGCAGCCGCGGUAAUACGUAGGGGGCUAGCGUUAUCCGGAUUUACUGGGCGUAAAGGGUGCGUAGGUGGUUUCUUAAGUCAGGAGUGAAAGGCUACGGCUCAACCGUAGUAAGCUCUUGAAACUGGGGAACUUGAGUGCAGGAGAGGAAAGUGGAAUUCCUAGUGUAGCGGUGAAAUGCGUAGAUAUUAGGAGGAACACCAGUAGCGAAGGCGGCUUUCUGGACUGUAACUGACACUGAGGCACGAAAGCGUGGGGAGCAAACAGGAUUAGAUACCCUGGUAGUCCACGCCGUAAACGAUGAGUACUAGGUGUCGGGGGUUACCCCCCUCGGUGCCGCAGCUAACGCAUUAAGUACUCCGCCUGGGGAGUACGCUCGCAAGAGUGAAACUCAAAGGAAUGGACGG
rnacentral:rRNA from 1 species